CACGUAGGGGGCAAGCGUUGUCCGGAUUUAUUGGGCGUAAAGAGCUCGUAGGCUGUUCGAUAAGUCGGGUGUGAAACCUCCAGGCUCAACCUGGAGACGCCACCCGAUACUGUCAUGACUAGAGUCCGGUAGGGGAGCGUGGAAUUCCUGGUGUAGCGGUGAAAUGCGCAGAUAUCAGGAGGAACACCGGUGGCGAAGGCGGAUCUCUGGGCCGAUACUGACGCUGAGGAGCGAAAGCGUGGGGAGCGAACAGG
rnacentral:rRNA from 1 species